AGGGGUAGGAGGCAGGGGCUGAGGAGUUGGUGAAGGUAGGAGCCCGCCCAGGGAGGGCCGGCGGAGGGAGGAGCCCGCCGAGUCCAGGAGGAGGGAGGAGGACGGUCCACCCCGGCGCGGCCGCAGACCCGACGGGCUCCCUGGCACAGCUGACCGGGCCGGAACUGCAGCGGCCACGCGGGAAUGGGCCGCCCCGGGACCUAGCGCCGCGGCCAGGGUCGGGCGGAGCCGCCGCGCAGCCGGAGCCAUGAACGGGGACGCCAUCUGCAGCGCGCUACCCCCCAUCCCGUACCACAAGCUCGCCGACCUGCACUACCUCAGCCGGGGCGCCUCUGGCACGGUCUCGUCGGCACGACACGCAGACUGGCGCGUGCGGGUGGCAGUGAAGCACCUACACAUCCACACGCCGCUGCUCGACAGUGAAAGAAAUGAUAUCUUACGAGAAGCCGAAAUAUUACAUAAAGCAAGAUUUAGUUACAUUCUUCCAAUUUUGGGAAUUUGCAAUGAGCCUGAAUUUUUGGGCAUAGUUACUGAAUACAUGCCAAAUGGAUCAUUAAAUGAGCUUCUACACAGAAAAACUGAAUAUCCUGAUAUUGCAUGGCCAUUGAGAUUCCGCAUCCUGCAUGAAAUUGCUCUUGGUGUAAAUUAUCUGCACAAUAUGAACCCCCCUCUGCUUCAUCAUGACCUAAAGACUCAGAAUAUCUUGUUGGAUAAUGAAUUUCAUGUUAAGAUUGCAGAUUUUGGUUUAUCAAAAUGGCGCAUGAUGUCACUCUCUCAAUCACGAAGUUACAAAUCUGCACCCGAAGGAGGAACAAUCAUCUAUAUGCCACCUGAGAACUAUGAGCCAGGACAGAAAUCAAGGGCCAGUGUGAAGCAUGAUAUAUACAGCUAUGCAGUUAUCAUGUGGGAAGUGUUAUCCAGAAAACAGCCUUUUGAAGAGGUCACCAAUCCUUUGCAGAUCAUGUACAGUGUGUCCCAGGGACAUCGACCUGACACCAGUGAGGAGAAUUUGCCAUUUGAUAUACCUCAUCGAGGUCUCAUGAUCUCUCUAAUACAGAGUGGAUGGGCGCAAAACCCAGAUGAAAGACCAUCCUUUUUGAAAUGCUUAAUAGAACUUGAACCAGUUCUGAGAACAUUUGAAGACAUAACUUUCCUUGAGGCUGUUAUUCAGCUAAAGAAAGCAAAGCAAAACUAGAUGAGUAGGGACCUGGUGGUACCAUCCUGUAAUCCCAUCUACUUGUGUAGGCUAAGAGGAGGAUUGCAGACUCAAGGUGUGCCUGGGCUACAGUGUGAGCUCAAGGCCAGCAUGGAUACAGAGUUCCUCAAGUACUAUUCACUUAUGUGAUAAGAAAAUGGAUUUAUCGCUAAACAUACCUGCAAAUCAUCCCCCACAGGAGGAAUCGUGUGGAUCCUCUCUGCUCUCUAGAAACACUGGUUCUCCUGGACCCUCCAGAUCCCUAUCAGCUCCUCAAGACAAGGGAUUUUUAUCUGGAGCACCUCAAGACUGCUCUUCGUUGAAGGCACACCACUGUCCUGGAAACCACAGCUGGGAUGGUAUCGUUUCUGUACCACCAGGGGCAGCCUUCUGUGAUCGCAGGGCCUCCUCGUGUUCCUUGGCUGUAAUAAGUCCAUUCUUGGUUGAGAAAGGUUCAGAGCGCCCACCAAUUGGUAUAGCCCAACAGUGGAUCCAGAGUAAGAGGGAAGCCAUUGUGAGCCAGAUGACUGAAGCCUGCCUUAACCAAUCGCUGGACGCCCUUCUGUCUCGUGACCUGAUCAUGAAGGAGGACUAUGAACUCAUUAGCACCAAACCUACAAGGACCUCAAAAGUCAGACAGCUGCUAGAUACGUCUGACAUCCAAGGAGAAGAGUUUGCCAAAGUUGUAGUGCAGAAGUUGAAAGAUAACAAGCAGCUGGGGCUGCAGCCUUACCCAGAAGUACCUGUGCUUUCCAAAGCACCGCCUUCAAAUUUCCCUCAGAAUAAAAGCUUGUAAGGGGGCCUUCUUUGGGAGGAAGUCAGUUUACAAAUGGUUAUUUAUAUUUCUGUUACCUGUAUAAUAUUUGUAUAGAAAACAUGAGAGUAUUAGACGCUUCACUGAAGGUUGAUGGAAGAGUCUCUUCCCAUGACGUUGCAGUAUUUUUUUAAAUUAAUAUAAGUAAAAAGUUUGCUUUAUGCUGUGUAGUUCAGUUUUUACGUCAGUUUCACUACUUGAACUUUUUAUGUGAUAAUUACAUUUUUCUAGUAUGUAACAGUGCCUUAAAGUGGCCUUUGUUUCUGAUGGAAGACACUUUCACACUCACCUUCUCUGCGGAUUCCUCAUUAUUCGUCUAGAGUGCAGUUUGACUUUACAUAGCAGUGAUUCAGGCUCCCCAUUUGCCAAUCCCAAGUUCAGAUCUCCAAAGAGUUACUCGGUUUUAAGUUUGACUUACAAAUUCUUUAGCAGGUGGUCUCAAGGAAUGUAGAGUAUAUAAAGAAGCGGGGGAGAAAAAAUUAACACUGGCCAGCCGUGGACCUCUGCUUAACUUUUGCCUCCUGUCUGUCUCCAGAGCGAGCAGCCCAUUGUGCAUCCUGCUGCAGCCUGCUUCCGGCUCCUGUUUUAAGCAUAUGCGGGUUGGGUAGAAGCCGACCUUUACUUAGCUAUUUUCUUUGUAAAACACCAUGGUUUUUGAACUGAAGGCAGGUACACUCCUCCACACAGCUAACUCCGUUCAAUCACCGCAUGUCGGCCACGCCUCUCUGUGUUUGAUUUUCCAAGAUUGCUCUUAUCAACUUGACGAGAAACAAUAAAAAGGCAAUACAGUGUGCA